UGACCAAGCCUAGACAAUUAUUUACUAAAAAUACAGGUCUUUGUAAAGUUGUAAAACCAUGUAUGGAGGUCGAUACCCGCCUAAUGCCAAAAGGUCAAGAAAGUUAAUGACUUGAUGAUAGGGAAGUUGUCGACCAAAGCCUCAACGAACAAUAACUAUAACUAUAACGGUCCUAAGGUAACAAAAUUCCUUGUCAAGUAAGUUCUGAUUGUAAAAAAAGGUAACGAUUUGGAC
rnacentral:ncRNA from 1 species